rnacentral:tRNA from 1 species
UGCUUUAAAGUCAAAACAGAGAUGUAAGUCUUGUAAACUUAAGAUUGGAAUUAAUUCCUAAAGCAA